AGCUCGGCCUGGAGUGACUCACCACGAGCACAAAAACCUGUGCGGAAUGACGGCUGCGCUACAAUGAUUCCAACGUGAAUAGGAAAAUACUAAACCAGAACACUACAAAUGCUUCAAUUAUUAGGAAGAGGAUCUGCUGACAUGAAGUGAGGAACCAAUCAUAUCCCAUGGUCAGGCACUGCAGAGGAAAGAUGUAGCUGGAAAAAGUUACUGCUGUCUGGGCCGAAGAAGAAAAGAAAAGACAACAGAGAAGAUGUUACCUCUCAUUGCACAAGAGAAACAAAAGACAAUCAAGAAAAUGUGGAGCAUAUCUGAACAGCUUGAGGAACCUUCUUAUACAAGCCUCAUUUAGGAGAUCUUUAUGUUUUAAAUGGCUUGUGAAGAAACUGGGAUAUCAUUAUUAAUAUGCUACCAGCUGCUCAGGCUGAACCUCAUGGCUUAUUAGGAAGAAAACGGCACCAAA